UCUCUGGUAGUAUAUCGGUUAGUACACGCGCCUGUCAUCUCUUGGUUUUCGCGCGAAAGCUGGGUUCGACUCCCAGCCAGAGAG
rnacentral:tRNA from 1 species